UACGAUACUUGAAAAGCAAUGAGAGACUUACACAAAAACUUUCAUAAAGCGUGAAGUAACUUCAUAGAAUGGCAUUGUUAAAGCUUGGUUUCUUUUUAACUAUCCUUCUAAUGGCAGCAGCUACAAGUUAGUAACUACCUUAUUAUCUCUAACUAUUAAUUUUUACAUCGUUAUGUUGGGGUAAAUAUGUACAUGUAGGUACAUGUGUGUAACUCUCACAUAUUCAUCUAUAUGCACGGCUAUGUAUGUGCUUCUAUGCAUAUCGUUUGAAUGUGAAUUUUAUGUUAUAAUAAUUCAUAAUUUUAUGUUUUUUUGGUGAAAUAUCUCAGUCAAAGCUGCACCAAAUGUUGAUCUCGAUGUCUCAAAGAUGGAGAGAAGACUACUUCCACAACUUAAUACUUGUUUGAGAUCUUGUGAAAACAACGAUGGUUGCAGUGAUUGUUGGGUUUGCUGUACCUGCAAAGACUUUUUUGGAGCUAUUACAUUCAUGUGUCAGGCAUAAAUUUCAAAAGAGUAGUACGUUGAAAUCAUAUAACAAUAAACUCAGUAGCAAAUCUGUUUAAUGCAUUUAUGUUUUAGUGUGAUUUCAAUGUUUUUUUUUUCUUUUAUUUGUCGUCUUUAAUAAUUUUACGAAUAAUGAAGAAAGUGAGGUAUUACUUUCUAUUCAUAAAUAAAUGAAUUUUCAAAUUGAAUACCAUUUGAGCUAAUUUAUUUUAGUACUUUAAUCAUCAGCAUGCAUAUAGUAGAUUUAUUUAUGAAUUUAGCGC
rnacentral:lncRNA from 1 species